rnacentral:rRNA from 1 species
GACGAACGCUGGCGGCGUGCUUAACACAUGCAAGUCGAACGGAAAGGCCCUGCUUUUGUGGGGUGCUCGAGUGGCGAACGGGUGAGUAACACGUGAGUAACCUGCCCUUGACUUUGGGAUAACUUCAGGAAACUGGGGCUAAUACCGGAUAGGAGCUCCGGCUGCAUGGUGGGGGUUGGAAAGUUUCGGCGGUUGGGGAUGGACUCGCGGCUUAUCAGCUUGUUGGUGGGGUAGUGGCUUACCAAGGCUUUGACGGGUAGCCGGCCUGAGAGGGUGACCGGCCACAUUGGGACUGAGAUACGGCCCAGACUCCUACGGGAGGCAGCAGUGGGGAAUAUUGCACAAUGGGCGGAAGCCUGAUGCAGCAACGCCGCGUGCGGGAUGACGGCCUUCGGGUUGUAAACCGCUUUCGGCUGGGACGAAGCGUGAGUGACGGUAAUGGGUAAAGAAGCACCGGCUAACUACGUG